rnacentral:rRNA from 1 species
UACGAAGGGGGCUAGCGUUGCUCGGAAUGACUGGGCGUAAAGGGCGCGUAGGCGGUUCGGACAGUCAGAUGUGAAAUUCCCGGGCUUAACCUGGGGACUGCAUUUGAUACGUCCGGGCUUGAGUGUGGAAGAGGGUCGUGGAAUUCCCAGUGUAGAGGUGAAAUUCGUAGAUAUUGGGAAGAACACCGGUGGCGAAGGCGGCGACCUGGUCCAUUACUGACGCUGAGGCGCGAAAGCGUGGGGAGCAAACAGG